rnacentral:rRNA from 1 species
GGCAACAGCUCAAAUUUGAAAUCUGGCUCUCGGGCCCGAGUUGUAAUUUGUAGAGGAUACUUUUGAUGCGGUGCCUUCCGAGUUCCCUGGAACGGGACGCCAUAGAGGGUGAGAGCCCCGUCUGGUUGGAUGCCAAAUCUCUGUAAAGUUCCUUCGACGAGUCGAGUAGUUUGGGAAUGCUGCUCUAAAUGGGAGGUAUAUGUCUUCUAAAGCUAAAUACCGGCCAGAGACCGAUAGCGCACAAGUAGAGUGAUCGAAAGAUGAAAAGCACUUUGAAAAGAGAGUUAAAAAGUACGUGAAAUUGUUGAAAGGGAAGCGUUUAUGACCAGACUUGGGCUUGGUUAAUCAUCUGGGGUUCUCCCCAGUGCACUUUUCCAGUCCAGGCCAGCAUCAGUUUUCGCCGGGGGAUAAAGACUUCGGGAAUGUGGCUCUCUUCGGGGAGUGUUAUAGCCCGUUGUGUAAUACCCUGGCGGGGACUGAGGUUCGCGCAUCUGCAAGGAUGCUGGCGUAAUGGUCAUCAACGACCCGUCUUGAAACA